rnacentral:rRNA from 1 species
UACGUAGGGUGCAAGCGUUAAUCGGAAUUACUGGGCGUAAAGCGUGCGCAGGCGGUGAUGUAAGACAGAUGUGAAAUCCCCGGGCUUAACCUGGGAACUGCAUUUGUGACUGCAUGGCUGGAGUGCGGCAGAGGGGGAUGGAAUUCCGCGUGUAGCAGUGAAAUGCGUAGAUAUGCGGAGGAACACCGAUGGCGAAGGCAAUCCCCUGGGCCUGCACUGACGCUCAUGCACGAAAGCGUGGGGAGCAAACAGG